GAAGAGAAAAUAGUAACAUAAAAGAUAUAAAAGAAAGAACAUAAGAGAGGACUUAUUAUAGUAAAAUAGGCGAGUCCUACAUGGAAAAGAAGAUGAGAAAAAUGUGUGAUACUACUCUGAGAGAUUUAAGAAGGUUGAAAUUGAAAUCCUAAGUAUGAGUAAGAGAAAAUCGUUAGUAAUUGUAUGGUUAAGGCAUACUAGGUUUGAG
rnacentral:lncRNA from 1 species